UUCGAAAGUCAAAAGACCCCCGACUUGGGUUCCAAAGGCAAACCUUAAGGCGGGGCAUCGACGCGUCCUUCUGUCAAUCGCGGCUAACAAUGAGCCAACAACCACCACUAGACGUAUCGCAGCCCGCCAAAGGUCCAAAUUUUAGGCAAACCGCGCAAUGAUUUGAACGGAUAGCCAAUAUCCGCGUCCUAUAUCCGAGACGGAUGUGGGAGCGACGCAUAGCAUGACGCCCAAGCAGGUGUGCCCUCAACC
rnacentral:misc_RNA from 1 species